UCAAUAAGCGGAGGAAAAGAAACUAACAAGGAUUCCCCUAGUAACGGCGAGUGAAGCGGGAAGAGCUCAAAUUUGUAAUCUGGCGGUCUAAGGCCGUCCGAGUUGUAGUCUGGAGAAGCGUUUUCCGUGCCGGACCGUGUACAAGUCCCUUGGAACAGGGUGUCAUAGAGGGUGAGAAUCCCGUCUUUGACACGGACUACCGGUGCUCUGUGAUGCGCUCUCGAAGAGUCGAGUUGUUUGGGAAUGCAGCUCAAAAUGGGUGGUAAAUUCCAUCUAAAGCUAAAUAUGGGCGAAAGACCGAUAGCGAACAAGUACCGUGAGGGAAAGAUGAAAAGCACUUUGGAAAGAGAGUUAAAUAGUACGUGAAAUUGUUGAAAGGGAAACGCUUGAAGUCAGUCGCGUCUUCAGAGACUCAGCCGGGUUCUUACCCGGUGCACUUCUCUGUGUGACGGGCCAGCAUCGAUUUCGACCGUCGGAGAAAGGUUUUGGGAAUGUGGCACCUUCGGGUGUGUUAUAGCCCUUUGUCGUAUGUGAUGGUGGGGAUCGAGGACCGCAGCACGCCCUUC
rnacentral:rRNA from 1 species